rnacentral:lncRNA from 1 species
GGACAUGAACAAGGGUAGACAGACACCACCUCUCAGCGCUUUAAGCGUACCUAAACUCAAGACCUGCGAGGGAGGACAAACCUCUCGAAGUGGUGUGCCGUUAAAUGUAUUGGAAUCUGUAAGAAGACGACAGAAUUUUGACUUUGUUGAAGAGAACUAGAAUAAGGCUCAGAAAGUCAGAAAACAGGAAAAUCUCACCAUGAAAGAAGCUGAUUUUAUUAGCUUAUUAGGCACCUGAUGUAAAUAUGUUUAUAUCACUAGUUCACUACCACCAUAAAUGAAAGUUAUUAUUUAACUUCUCUGUUUUCUUCUCUGUUUUAUAGUUCAUUGAUCAUGUAUUUUAAUGAUCGAAAUUUAUAUCCUUGUAUUCACAAUUAUCAAACCUAAAAGUAAGAUUCUGAUUCUGUCGUAAACUAAAUCAUUACAUGUUAAUGCACACAUCGUUACAAUAUAUAUUAUGCACGUGCUAUUACUACCUAACUACAAAAUUAUUAUUAUUAUUAUUUUUGAAAAGGGAUUAUACAUUAUUAUACAUAAUUUGUUUGCAAAUUAUACAGUAUUUUGUUUGCAGAUUCUCAGCCAAUAUACAUAAUUUCACCAUAUAUAAGAAAAUGCCCAUUUAAUACUAAUUUAAACCCCUCAUUUCCUAUUCCAAUGACAAUCUUUUUCAUUAGCCCAUUUCAAUAUAAGGUAACAUUUUUUAUGCCUAAAUACACAAAUAAGGUAACUUUUUUUAUACACAAAUGCACAAAUCUUUACUAAAGUCUUAACAAACCAUAUUAUUUUAAGACUAUUUUGCUCUCACCCCUUAAACAUGCAUAGAAAGAGAGAAAAUGAAAGAGAGAAUACUUGGCCGGAAUCUCACCGGACUCUGGUCACCGGCCGCCGGUCGCCGAACUCCGGUCACCGGAAUUUCCCCGAUCGCGGGACUCUGGUCACCGGAAUUUCCCCAGUAACUAGUUACUGACCCCCAAUAACUAGUUACUGACCAAUUAAUGACCCUUAAUAACUAGUUACUCACCCCUAGUAACCAGUUACUGACCCCUAGUAACCAGUUACUGACCCCUAAUAAUUGUGUUACUGACCCCUAAUAAUCGUGUUACUAACCUCUAAUAAUCAGUUACUGACCCUUAAUAAUCAACUUAUUUCAGUUUAAUGUAAUAGAAAAAAAGAUUUACCAGAAAAUAAUCGAAUUACUGACCUUAAUAAUCGAGUUACUGACCCCAAUAACUUUUAGUUUUCAGUUACUGACACCCAAUAAUCACUUUGUUUUCAGUUACUGACACCCAGUAAUCACCCAAUAAUCACUUACUGACCCUCAAUAAUCAGGUUACAAACCUCAAAUAAUAACUUACUGGCCUCAAUAAUCACUUAUCAAUCCUCAAUAAUCACUUACUGACUCCAAUAUUCAAAUGUAAGGAUAAAAAAAAUAAAAAUAAACUAACUAACUUGAAUUGGACACCCACAUUUCUUCUUUGGGCACCCACCUUCCCCAACGGUGAGCACAACGACCUCCUCCACCGACCCCGGCGCACGCCGGCAAGCAACAACCUUCCCCAGCCACAAUCUAGCCCGGAUCGAACUACAGCAUAGCCCUAGCCCCGAGCGCGCCCCGGCAACACCAUCAUCGAUCUCGGCACGAACCCAGCCCCGACGUCGACGAGUUCAGAGGAGCGGCGGAGUAGGAAACCGAGGAGGGAGACUACAAUGGAGGAGGAGAAAGAGACCGCGCAUACCGCCAAAGAUGACCGGAGACUCAAAAACAGAGACGUCGACGAGUUCAUAGGAGCGGCGGAGUAGGAAACCGAGGAGGGAGACGACAAUGGAGGAGGAGAAGAGAAUGGAUGAGCCAGCAGGCUCUCGCCGUGAGUGAGCAACUGAGACGAGGCCGGAGAAGCUUUAAGAAGCAUGGUGAUGAAUUCUCAGAGGAAAACGAGGAGAGAGAGAGAGAGAGAGAGAGAGAGAGAGA